ACAAUUCGUAUUAAUUCUACGUUAGCAGGGAAAAGAGGGAGGCCUUUUCUUUAUUCUCGCGGCCGACUACGAGCUAGUGGGGAUUUAAGAUUUAGGCUCUUCGUGUUCGUGUCUCCAGCGUCGUAUACGGUACAGUUGUGUCAUGUACUGGAGAUCACCGCUUCCCAGAAUGUCUCUAACGGGUACGUUCGGUUGUUUUCCUCGGGCCCGGAGGGAAUCUAUAAACUCGGACCUAACAUCACAGAAUUCGGCACACGACCAAACAACAUGCUCGAUGUCAUGGUAGCCAUCGCCACAAACGCAGUGAUUACUGUCUACAAGCCCUAUACGAAAGAGAUGCGUGUUUAACGUGUAGUGAUUGGACAUAAG